GAUGAACGCUGGCGGCGUGCCUAAUACAUGCAAGUCGAGCGAACGGACGAGAAGCUUGCUUCUCUGAUGUUAGCGGCGGACGGGUGAGUAACACGUGGAUAACCUACCUAUAAGACUGGGAUAACUUCGGGAAACCGGAGCUAAUACCGGAUAAUAUUUUGAACCGCAUGGUUCAAAAGUGAAAGACGGUCUUGCUGUCACUUAUAGAUGGAUCCGCGCUGCAUUAGCUAGUUGGUAAGGUAAAGGCUUACCAAGGCAACGAUGCAUAGCCGAGCUGAGAGGGUGAUCGGCCACACUGGAACUGAGACACGGUCCAGACUCCUACGGGAGGCAGCAGUAGGGAAUAUUCCGCAAUGGGCGAAAGCCUGACGGAGCAACGCCGCGUGAGUGAUGAAGGUCUUCGGAUCGUAAAACUCUGUUAUUAGGGAAGAACAUAUGUGUAAGUAACUGUGCACAUCUUGACGGUACCUAAUCAGAAAGCCACGGCUAACUACGUG
rnacentral:rRNA from 1 species